GACGAACGCUGGCGGCGUGCCUAAUACAUGCAAGUCGAACGAGUGGCGGACGGGUGAGUAACACGUGGGAACCUACCCAUCAGAGGGGGAUAACUACUGGAAACGGUGGCUAAUACCGCAUACGAUCGGAUGAACCCAUAGGGGAUUAGCUAGUAGGUGGGGUAAAGGCUCACCUAGGCGACGAUCUCUAGCUGGUCUGAGAGGAUGAUCAGCCACACUGGGACGGAGACACGGCCCAGACUCCUACGGGAGGCAGCAGUAGGGAAUAUUGCACAAUGGGCGCAAGCCUGAGGCAGCCAUGCCGCGUGUAUGAAGAAGGCCUUCGGGUUGUAAAGUACUUUCAGCAGGGAGGCGUUACCCGAAGAGGAAGCACCGGCUAACUCCGUGUCAGCCGCCGCGGUAAUAC
rnacentral:rRNA from 1 species